AGCUUACCACUAACUCAGUUGCAACAUUAUAUCCUGUUUACAGAAUUAAUAGCCUCCAACCCCCCAAAAAGAUUAAAUCUGACAAAUAUAAAGCUACUUUAAAUUGUGAUACACUGACAAAAAAAAAAGAUGUUUUUUUUCAUCCAAACAUUUAUAAUCUUAUCCUCAGAAUCAGAACAUCACGGCGGAUGUCCUGCGCCAACUUCUGGAGUCCAGGGUGUCGGAGCACAUGGAGGACUGUCUUCACAACCCUGUUUUCUCUGUUGCUCCAAACACAGACAGCAGCUCUCCCAACCUGAUGAUUAGCUGCCAGGUUUGUGACUACCUGUCCAUUGUCCUGUGAAAGAUGCUGCUCCUGCCAUGAGUGUACUCACUCACAAGCUAUGAAUGAGAGUUUUUAUGUUGAUUAAAUAAAGGCUAUUUUUUUUUUUAUAUUUAAUGAGUGGAUGGUUUAAUCAUCAUGUAUACUUCCAUCCCUUACUACUAUUUCAUACCAAUGGUCCUAUUUAAGUGUUGAUCAAGAUGUGCCAGUGUCUUUUUAGUAUCACCAAGUUGCUUUAUUAAAACUUGUGCAAUAAAGUCAAGUUUAAGAAUUGGAA